CGGGGAGGUUUCGUGGGCGAGAGGUUGUCAGCAGCCUAGCGAUGGGGGCAGGAUUCUCCUGCCGGAUUGCGGUACCAGUUUCCUGGAUCCAGGUCCUAUGGAGAGGGAAGAGGGGAGCGGUUGCUUAAGUAUUUAUCUUGCAAGGAACAGAUUAAUUCAUAGAAAGCAGCAAACCCAGACUGGAUCUGCAUGUCACCCGGUGACCUGAAAUUAAAGAGCUCCUGGAAUGAAGCAGACAAUAUCUGGAAUUGAAGCUUUUCCGAGAUACCCAGACCAGGCCUGUUCAAAGUUUAUCACCAAG